UACGUAGGGUGCAAGCGUUGUCCGGAAUUAUUGGGCGUAAAGAGCUCGUAGGCGGUCUGUCGCGUCUGCUGUGAAAACCCGAGGCUCAACCUCGGGCUUGCAGUGGGUACGGGCAGACUAGAGUGCGGUAGGGGAGAUUGGAAUUCCUGGUGUAGCGGUGGAAUGCGCAGAUAUCAGGAGGAACACCGAUGGCGAAGGCAGAUCUCUGGGCCGUAACUGACGCUGAGGAGCGAAAGCGUGGGGAGCGAACAGG
rnacentral:rRNA from 1 species